rnacentral:rRNA from 1 species
UACGUAGGGCGCAAGCGUUGUCCGGAAUUAUUGGGCGUAAAGAGCUCGUAGGCGGUUUGUCGCGUCGGCUGUGAAAACUCGGGGCUCAACCCCGAGCCUGCAGUCGAUACGGGCAAACUAGAGUGUGGUAGGGGAGACUGGAAUUCCUGGUGUAGCGGUGGAAUGCGCAGAUAUCAGGAGGAACACCGAUGGCGAAGGCAGGUCUCUGGGCCACUACUGACGCUGAGACGCGAAAGCGUGGGGAGCGAACAGG